rnacentral:rRNA from 1 species
UUACCCCCCGGGGGAAAAUUACAUAUCAAUAAGCGGAGGAAAAGAAAAUAACAAUGAUUCCCUUAGUAACGGCGAGUGAAGCGGGAAGAGCCCAGCACUGAAUCCCCCGGCCGUGUGGUCGACGGGACCUGUGGUGUUUGGGAGUGUCUUUGGUGCGCUGGCGCGGUGUUUGAGUCCUCCUGAUCGGGGCUUGUUCCCAGAGCGGGUGUAAGGCCUCUACUGCACCAAGCCGCGUGUCUCUGGCGCUCUCUGGAGUCGGGUUGUUUGAGAAUGCAGCCCAAAGUGGGAGGUAAACUCCUCCUAAGGCUAAAUACAGGCACGAGUCCGAUAGCGAACAAGUACGGGACGGAAAGUUGAAAAGAAUC